rnacentral:lncRNA from 1 species
GAGCUCAAAACUGUCAAUUCCCGGAAUUCCGGGAUCAGGCGGUUGCACCUCCUGACUGGGGCGGUUGCACCGCCUGGCAGAGCUCGAAGACUGAGCCUCUAGGCGGUGCCACCUCUGUCAGGGGCGGUUGCACCUCUCUGCCAGAGCUCGAAGACCGAGCUCAGGCGGUUGCACCUCUUGACUGGGGCGGUUGCACCGCC